rnacentral:rRNA from 1 species
AUUGAACGCUGGCGGCAGGCCUAACACAUGCAAGUAGAGCGGAGCGGCGGACGGGUGAGUAAUGCCUAGGAAUAUGACCGGUAGUGGGGGAUAACGUCCGGAAACGGGCGCUAAUACAGCAUACUAUCAGAUGAGCCUAGGUAGGAUGAGCUGGUUGGUGGGGUAAAGGCCUACCAAGGCGACGAGCCGUAACUGGGCUGAGAGGAUGAUCAGUCACCCUGGAACUGAUACACGGUCCAGACUCCUACGGGAGGCAGCAGUGGGGAAUUUUGGACAAUGGGCGAAAGCCUGAUCCAGCCAGCCCGCUGGUGUGAAGAAGUUCUUCGGUUUGUAAAGCACUUUAAGUUGGGAGGCGUUACCAACAGAAUAAGCACCGGCUAACUUCGUGCCAGCAGCCGCGGUAAUAC